UACGUAGGCAGCGAGCGUUGUUCGGAAUUACUGGGCGUAAAGAGUGUGUAGGCGGUGCUCUAAGCUCGGUGUGAAAUCUCCUGGCUCAACUGGGAGGGUGCGCCGGAAACUGGAGUGCUUGAGGCGUGGGAGAGGAAAGCGGAAUUCCUGGUGUAGCGGUGAAAUGCGUAGAUAUCUGGAGGAACACCGGGUGGCGAAGGCGGCGUUCUGGACUGCAACUGACACUGAUAAACGAAAGCCAGGGUAGCAAAACGGG
rnacentral:rRNA from 1 species